rnacentral:tRNA from 1 species
GGGGUUGUAUCUCAAGAGGUAGAGCACUUGCCUAGCAUGCAUGAGGCACUGGGUUCAAUCCUCAGCACCACA